GUAGUACUUCCUCCGUCUGAAAAUACUUGUCAUCAAAAUGGACAAAAAGGGAUAUAUCUAGAACUAAAAUACAUCUAGAUACAUUCUCUUUUAUUCAUUUUGAUGACAAGUAUUUCCGGACGGAGGGAGUAUAUG
rnacentral:pre_miRNA from 1 species